rnacentral:rRNA from 1 species
UACGGGGGGGGCAAGCGUUGUUCGGAAUUACUGGGCGUAAAGGGCUCGUAGGCGGCCAACUAAGUCAGACGUGAAAUCCCUCGGCUUAACCGGGGAACUGCGUCUGAUACUGGAUGGCUUGAGUUUGGGAGAGGGAUGCGGAAUUCCAGGUGUAGCGGUGAAAUGCGUAGAUAUCUGGAGGAACACCGGUGGCGAAGGCGGCGAUCUGGACGAUGACUGACGCUGAGACGCGAAAGCGUGGGGAGCAAACAGG